AAGUCGCACGAGAAAGUCCCUUCGGGGACGAGUACAGUGGCGGACGGGUGAGUAACGCGUAUGGAACCUGNGNUUGAGCGGAGGACAACUACCGGAAACGGUAGCUAAUACUGCAUAACAUCCACGGGUCGCAUGACUUGUGGAUCAAAGCCUUCGGGCGCUCAGGGAUGGUCAUGCGUCGGAUUAGCUCGUUGGUAAGGUAACGGCUUACCAAGGCAAUAAUCCGUAGCUGGUCUGAGGGGAUGAUCAGCCACACUGGCACUGAGACACGGGCCAGACUCCUACGGGAGGCAGCAGUGGGGAAUCUUGCGCAAUGGGGGCAACCCUGACGUAGCCACGCCGCGUGGAGGAAGACACCCCUAUGGGGCGUAAACUCCUUUUCUGUCGGAAGAAAACUCUGUUUUGCAGGGCGUGACGGUACGACAGGAAUAAGCACCGGCUAACUCCGUGCCAGCAGCCGCGGUAAUACGGAGGGUGCAAGCGUUGUCCGGAAUUACUGGG
rnacentral:rRNA from 1 species